rnacentral:misc_RNA from 1 species
GAUGAAGAAGUAGCGAAAUGCGAUAAGUAAUGUGAAUUGCAGAAUUCAGUGAAUCAUCGAAUCUUUGAACGCACAUUGCGCCCGUCAGUAUUCUGGCGGGCAUGCCUGUUCGAGCGUCAUUACGCCCCUCAAGUCCCCUGUGGACUUGGUGUUGGGGAUCGGCGAGGCUGGUUUUCCAGCACAGCCGUCCCUUAAAUUAAUUGGCGGUCUCGCCGUGGCCCUCCUCUGCGCAGUAGUAAAACACUCGCAACAGGAGCCCGGCGCGGUCCACUGCCGUAAAACCCCCCAACUUUUUAUAGUUGACCUCGAAUCAGGUAGGACUGCCCGCUGAACUUAAGCAUAUCAAUAAGCGGAGGA